rnacentral:rRNA from 1 species
UACAGAGGUCCCAAGCGUUGUUCGGAUUCACUGGGCGUAAAGGGUGCGCAGGCGGCCAAGUGUGUCAGGUGUGAAAUCCCGAGCUUAACCUCGGAACUGCGCCUGAAACUACUUGGCUAGAGUACUGGAGAGGGUAACGGAAUUCACGGUGUAGCAGUGAAAUGCGUAGAUAUCGUGAGGAACACCAGAGGCGAAGGCGGUUACCUGGACAGUUACUGACGCUCAGGCACGAAAGCGUGGGGAGCAAAAGGG